GACAGAGGGGGGCAAGCGUUGUCCGGACUGACUGGGCGUAAAGCGCGCGCAGGCGGUCAUCUACGUCUGGGGUGAAAGCCCGGAGCUCAACUCCGGGAUUGCCUUGGAUACGGGAUGACUUGAGGAUCGGAGAGGCAAGGGGAAUUCCACGUGUAGCGGUGAAAUGCGUAGAGAUGUGGAGGAACACCUGUGGCGAAGGCGCCUUGCUGGCCGAUUUCUGACGCUGAGGCGCGAAAGCGUGGGGAGCAAACAGG
rnacentral:rRNA from 1 species